CAGAGUUACAUUUGCGGUAUAUUUGCGGUAUGACGGUAUAUAAAUCCGCGGUCACACUACUGCGGCCGGCUGUAAAGCAGUAGUACUCAGAUCGUAAAAACAAACUUGCUAGCAAAAUGUGCAAUAUAUUUUGCUAGGAGCAGAGUGUGACCAGAGGUGAAACCCGCAUUUCCAAUCCCAUGAAUGGGAUUGGCGGCUCUUGCAUGAUCGGAGGAGGAGGACAAUCAGCGAAAGAAGCGCCGACAACUUUGAUUAAACCCAUAUCUGCAGGAAAAAAACCAGAACGGUCGUUUGUCUAUACAUUUGAGUAUUAUAAAUCAUAUAGAUAUUUGUUCAUUUAUGGAAACCCAUGAAACGAUUGCAUAUUCCGCAGUUUAAAAAUAUGACAGACAAUUUGCAUAUGGCUGGGAAAAACAUCUGCAGCCUUAUUUGAUUGGUGGAGCAGCAAGGGGAGCCAAGGAAUAUUUGCGCCCGUUGCUAAGUUGUAAAACGGCGCCUCCAAGCACCCUUCCUAUUCAACAUUGGAUAGUUUCGAGCCCAGAUUGUCGCCAUCGCCCCUUGGCACGACCCUGUGGUCCCAGUACUUGGUCCCAAAAGGAAAACAAAUUAAAACAUUUUGUUAACAGCCCAGCCGGGUCUGUGUCUUGGCAAUAUGAAGAUACUGGCGUUCAAAUAAGUUAAACAAAUUAAAAAUGCAAAUAAAUUCAAUAUAAUCUCAUUAAUCUUUAAUAAUUGUUUCCGUUUUUGCCGUUUGAUGGCCUUAACCUCGUUUAGAAGCACGGUGGUCAUUUAUCUUUCACCUUCAGAGGCAUUGUUGCCUUCAUUUGAUUAACACUUUACUCUCUGUUUGCUAGGUACCCU
rnacentral:lncRNA from 1 species